CCGGGUGGGAUCGUGGCGGUGCUGUGACACUGAGCAGCUGAGGACUCCCCAGCUUGGCAGACUCCCCGGCAUGCUACGGUGGCUGACGGCCAGGGCCGCGUACUAUAGAGACUCGGAUCUCUGUACACAAGCUCCCAGGCUGAACACACGAGUGCACACAUACAAGACCAGAGGUUACCAAUGAGAAGCCAUGGAGAACUUCAAUUCUCUGAUGAAGGAAGACUGGAAAAGAGGAAAAAAAAAAAUGUUUAAAAUCCCCAAGGCUACCAAGACACAAAACAAGAGAAUUGGCAGGGGAGCCCCAAGUAGUCAAGCCUAGGGAAGAGGAAGUAGAUAAAUGGCCCUGGAAAGAACAUAUGCUACAGUCAUUGUGAUAAUAGAGGAGAUUUUUAAGAAAAGCCAAGGAGAGAAAAGAAGGACUCGGUGCUAAAUCAGUUUUAGCAUCUUGAUUACAGCAAGCACCGAGAGACUAGAAGCAACCAUUACAACAAUUGAGCACAUGGGUCCAAAAACCUGAACUUGGAUCUUACAACGGUGAAUUUACAGGA